AAUUCAAGGUGUUGGUGGUGUUUUUACUGUUUAUGAGCGAUCGUAUCGCUUACCAUAGGGGUCGCGCAGUUUAUAACAAUUUCCUUAAAUUGAUCAAAACUGGAUAUGUUUUUGUGUUAUUAAGAGAACGACUUUUAUUUCAAAGCCAUUGACAACAUGAGUAUAGCGUUACCCUGAAUGCAAUGUAAUGAGUUUUUUGAUUCGUAGAAGCAAAUUUCGCAUGAGAUUGGAAUUUGCCUACAAAAUUGUAAUAGACUCGAUCCCCAACACACUCAGCGAUGUCGGUUCAAACUUCAGUUGCAACAUAAUUACUGUGUUUUGUUAGUUCAAUAGUUGUGCCACUGCCCAACGUUACGAGGAUAUACAUGAACUUAUUCAAAUAUAAACUUUUGCCUAACGAAGCGGCAACAAACAAUAAUGUUACUUAUAUCAUUUGGUAUGAUAAUGUGAAAGGCACUUCAAGGUGAGUUUUAAUAUCUACUUGAUGUAAUGAUAGUGAAUCAUUGUAAUAACUUAUGCGGCUGUGCUAAUCGAAAGAGGUAUGAGAAUAGUUUGGCCAAAAACCUAAAGCUUGAUAAUUGUCCUGGUGCAAAGCUACCACACAGAGUUUAUUGAUGAUUAAAAUAAUUUAUACAUAUGUAUAUAUUUUUUUAAAUAUAAAAAGUCGUAAAUAUUCCAUUUGGACAAUAUCCAAUAUAAUCGAUGACGCGACAACCACGCCUCAGCCGGGCUACAGAUAAAAAUAUAAAGUAAACACUGAGCCAGCCAAAAUGGCGGUUCACGUGAUUGUUGUUUGUAUUUUUGCGAUCAUUUAGCGCUGCGACUUCAUGCCGAACGCACGUGCUCGCUUAUCGAUUAUAUUAGCUUAACAUAUGGGGAUGUAAUCAUGGAAGAAAUUAUAGAAUUUGAUAUUUGAAAAAUAAUUACUAUCAAUUAUAUAAAUAAUUAAAUUCUGUGUUUCAACUAUUAUGUAUGACACACUUGUGUGUGUGUGUGUUACUUUGUGAUAAUAGUUGUUGACAUUCAAUUAUAUUACACAAAAGGAACAAUAUUUACUAUAAAUGUUCUAGCCGGAUAUUAAUUCAUUUUUGUUAUAUCACGAAGUAAUAUGAAUAGGUCAUAUCAACGAAAUAAAUAAAUUAAUCAGCAUCCCCAAAUGCAUGCAAUAAGGAAAAAGGACGUUUACUACAUACAAUUUUAUACGAAGAAAAAAUAUAGUUAGAUCUUUUUAUACUGAUAACGAAUAUUGGUCUUAUUCAUAAUAAACCCCUUAUCGAAGGUAUAAAUCGCAAAUAGUUAAAACGUCCUAUAAGCUUAUCGAGUCUUCGAUAAAAUUUCUUAUUCAUAAUGGUUUAGUAAACCUCCGAUAACAAAAAGGCCUUUAAAUGUGCACAAUGUUGCCAUUACGUAGAAAAAAAAUAAUUUAAAUAAGUUCUACCAAUUACUACCAAGUUUUGUCUCUGGAAACUGACAAUAAAAAAAAUGUCUGUCAUUGUCACAAUGGCAUUUGUCAAAAAAGUAAAUAACAUAAAUACAGGAGGAAGAUUUAUUUGUUGUUCUCGAAAUUCUUUGUAAAACUUGGAAGAACGCAGGCAGCAAAUUGCGAUAAAGGUUUUGGUUAGAGAGCGGAGCACAAAUAAUAAAGUUAAAACAGCACAAUGAAAUAUAAAAGGAAUAAAUCAAUUUUAUUUUUUAGAUCAUGCCCAUUCCUCAGACCCCACUUCCAAUAGAAAAUAUAAAGGAGAUAUGUUUGUCCCACAUCUUCAGAAUAAAUUGCAACAAUAGAAGUGCAACACAGGAAAGAGUUGCAUGCUAUUCAGAUGGACAAUGAGCUCCAGUGAAA